CCCUUAGAUGUUCUGGGCUGCACGCGCGCUACACUGAUGCGCUCAACGAGUUUGCAUCCUUGCCUGGCAAGGUCGGGUAAUCUGUUCAAAAUGCAUCGUGAUGGGGAUAGAUUAUUGCAAUUAUUAAUCUUCAACGAGGAAUUCCUAGUAAGCGCGAGUCAUCAGCUCGUGCUGAUUACGUCCCUGCCCUUUGUACACACCGCCCGUCGCUACUACCGAUUGAAUGGUUUAGUGAGAAUUUUGGACUGGAACUCCCUUGCUCAGCAAUGGGCGAGGGGGAGUCCGGGAAGCUAUUCUAACUGUAUCAUUUAGAGGAAGUAAAAGUCGUAACA
rnacentral:rRNA from 1 species